rnacentral:rRNA from 1 species
GACGUAGGGCGCGAGCGUUGUCCGGAAUUAUUGGGCGUAAAGAGCUCGUAGGCGGUUUGUCGCGUCGAAUGUGAAAACCCGGGGCUCAACCCCGGGCCUGCAUUCGAUACGGGCGGACUAGAGUUCGGUAGGGGAGACUGGAAUUCCUGGUGUAGCGGUGAAAUGCGUAGAGAUCAGGAAGAACACCGGUGGCGAAAGCGUUCUGCUAGACCUGUACUGACACUGAGGGACGAAAGCUAGGGGAGCGAAUGGG